GCCAGGUGCGGUGGUGCUUGCCUGUAAUCCCAGCGGCCUGGGAGGCUGAGUCAGGAGAAUCAUGAGUUCAAAGCCAGCCUCAGCUAAAGCAAGGCGCUAAGCAACUCAGUGAGACCCUGUCUCUA
rnacentral:sRNA from 1 species